ACGUGUGAAGGAGUGGUUUUAUUAAAAAAGUGGAAACAAGGAAACACUUUAUUUAGUAAAACCUUAAA
rnacentral:sRNA from 10 species